UACAGAGGUCCCGAGCGUUGUUCGGAUUCAUUGGGCGUAAAGGGUGCGUAGGUGGCGCUGUAAGUGGGGUGUGAAAUCCCGGGGCUUAACCCCGGGACUGCAUUCCAUACUGCGGUGCUUGAGGACUGGAGAGGAGACUGGAAUUUACGGUGUAGCAGUGAAAUGCGUAGAGAUUGUAAGGAAGACCAGUGGCGAAGGCGGGUCUCUGGACAGUUCCUGACGCUGAGGCACGAAGGUCAGGGGAGCAAACGGG
rnacentral:rRNA from 1 species